CGAGCACGCGCGUGUGGCAUAUCAAUAAGCGGAGGAAAAGAAACUAACAAGGAUUCCCUUAGUAACGGCGAGUGAAGCGGGAAGAGCUCAAAUUUGAAAUCUUCAAGGUUUUACCUUGACGAAUUGUAGUUUAAAGAAGUGUUUUCUGUUGGAGUUUUGGUAAAAGUUCUUUGGAAUAGGACAUCAUAGAGGGUGAGAAUCCCGUAUUUGACCAUUAUUUCCAGCUGUGUGAUACACUUUCAAAGAGUCGGAUUGUUUGGGAAUGCAGUCCAAAAUGGGUGGUAAAUUUCAUCUAAAGCUAAAUAUUGGCGAGAGACCGAUAGCGAACAAGUACCGUGAGGGAAAGAUGAAAAGAACUUUGAAAAGAGAGUUAAACAGUACGUGAAAUUGUCAAAAGGGAAGCGUUUGACACCAGUGUUGUUUUUCCGAAAAUCAAUUACGAAUGUUUUGUUUUUGAGAAGUUAUGACUUCAUCGGCUUGCUUCUCUCUUUACGAAACUUUCUUAAUGCACUUUUCGGUUAACAAGUCAACAUCAAUUUCUUUUGUUGUAAAAGGGUAUGAGGAAGGUGGCUUUCUUUUCGGAGAAAGUGUUUAUAGCCUUGUACCUCUGCAAUCGGAGAGAUUGAGGUCUGCAGCGUAGAUCCUUCGGGGUUAGAUACGUUUGUGCUAAGUUAUAGCUUUUCAUAGACAACUUGUUGACUAUGUUUAGUCUUGUAGCUUACUCGCAUGACGCUAUUUUACCUACGCUUAGGAUGUUGAGCGCAUGUCUCUCUCU
rnacentral:rRNA from 1 species